ACAAAGGACGCAACGUGGCGCUACCAACGUUGUCAUGACGCCGUCGUUAUUGUCACGACGCCAUAUUGUGGUUACUGACAGCUGUAAUUUUACACGUCGACACGCUUUACUUUUUUCACCACAUCCCUCAGUUCUACGAAAAUGAGAAACACCGAACCCCGUCGGAGGUCCGGUGUGCGAUUGUCUGGAUCGAUUCAAUAUGCCCAGGAUAUGGCCAAGUUGACCUGUGUCAACGAGAUGCCAGAACAAAGGGUCAUUGUUGCUGGGCCUCCUGUAGCUCUGCCCAAGGUUGGUAAGAAGUCCAGACGGGGCAAGUAAGGGGGGUGGAGGCAUAGAAAACGGCUGCAGGAGAAGCUGUUCCUGGAGACGAUGGGGGAUGAGCGAGUCCAGGACAUCAGACGGAGCGUGGAAGCCUUGCACGUGACCUGUUUGAGUGACGUCAGUGAGGGGGCGGGUCCUGACCUCACCAGCACGUCCAUCCAC